AGUUACUGUUUCAUGUGGUGGGUUGUAAAUCCAAAAGAAUUACAGCCACAAACAAGAAAACUCUUGUGUGCUUUUUUUCCCUCCAUUCAUUGUUACUUCUGUUUUGCCAAUAGUCUUCAUUAGAACUUGUCGCUUUCUAUUUCAUCAUCAUCACCAGGUUUAGUUUAAUCCACUGAUGAAUCUAAAACUGAUCAUCAUCAUUGGGUUCAGCUUAAUCUACUAACAUAUUUUUUUUAAAAAGCUACCACCUUGGAAAUUUUGGUCCAUUCCAUCCUUGAUUUAUGAAAGCUACUAACUUCAUGAGAAGAGUAUGAUUAGUUUUGUUUAGUUUAUUUUUAUUUUUAUUUUUAUUUUUAUUUUUUGUAUUGACUUGAUUUAUGUGUAGACCAUGUACCUAGUUCUAAUGGAGAAACCAGGUGCAAGGAUGGGCUUUCAUCAGACAAUGUACAUGAGACAUACACGAACUCAAAUUAAAAUAGGAUUGAAUUGUGUGACCCAUUGUCUUGAAGUCGUUGUCCCAAAACCAGAUUGGUUGAGCAAUCAUGAUCUCUGAUUCAUAGACACAUGUUUCUUGAAAUACAUAGAGAAUAGAUUGAAAAAUGCUCGGUAUCUGCUUCAGAAUGUUCACAUGAACUCUUGAAACAAGCAGGAAGCAGCUGCAUGCAAUUCUUUUCAAGUGAGAAGCCUUGAGGCUUGGGGCUUUUUCAGUGAGGUACACUAGAAUUAGAUUGAAAAAAUAGAGAAAAAAACCUUUAAAAUCACAUUUAAGAUGGCCCUCAUUAGCUGAGAUUCUUUGACAUUAACAAGGCUUGUGUAGGAGAACUACAUCUCACAUGGAGAAACAGGUACUAAAAAGUAGACUAAACAAGUAAUGACUUUUGCUGUCACCUUUUCUAAUUUGGUAGCUACCUUAACUGUUGGCAUCUACCAAAAAAUCAUUGUUUACUUUUUGUCAUAGCUAGGCUAGAAGAAAAGCGCUUGGACAUGGUAUGAACCGCGUCUCUCUUUCUUUCUUUUUCUUUUUUAUAUGCUUUUAUAUGACAGGAGAUAUCUGUAUUUGGCAGAUAAAAUGCUAUGCCAAUUUGUUGAUCCCAUGUUAUGCACCCAUAUGGAUUAAAUCAACUGUUUGACAUUGAAAUAGACAAGAUGUGAAAUAUUUCAGAUUGUUGGUGAAUCUGAACAUACUAUACGUGUAAAACUCACAUUCUCACAAGAAUCAUAUGGCACUAGCAUCUCAAUCUCGGUGACUCAACUUGUUACAGGAACUGUUCGCCGAUACUUGUUGGGCAGCCCAUGUUGAUUCUAGGAGUCGUGGAGGCCACUGUUAUAAUGUACUCUUAUUUAUACAAUUUCUACUAAGGAAGAG